UACGUAGGCAGCGAGCGUUGUUCGGAGUUACUGGGCGUAAAGCGUGCGUAGGCGGUUGUCUAAGUUUGGUGUGAAAUCUCCUGGCUUAACUGGGAGGGUGCGCCGAAAACUGGGUGACUGGAGUGUCGGAGAGGUAAGCGGAAUUCCUGGUGUAGCGGUGAAAUGCGUAGAGAUGCGGAGGAACACCGAUGGUGAAGGCAGCCCCCUGGGCUAGCACUGACGCUCAGGCACGAAAGCGUGGGGAGCAAACAGG
rnacentral:rRNA from 1 species